rnacentral:rRNA from 1 species
CCUACGGGAGGCAGCAGUGAGGAAUAUUGGUCAAUGGGCGCGAGCCUGAACCAGCCAAGUAGCGUGGAGGAUGAAGGUUUUCGGAUUGUAAACUCCUUUUGUUAGAGAAGAUAAUGACGGUAUCUAACGAAUAAGCACCGGCUAACUCCGUGCCAGCAGCCGCGGUAAUACGGGGGGUGCAAGCGUUACUCGGAAUCACUGGGCGGAAAGAGCGCGUAGGCGGGAUAGCAAGUCAGAUGUGAAAUCCUAUGGCUUAACCAUAGAACUGCAUUUGAAACUGUUAUUCUAGAGUAUGGGAGAGGUAGGUGGAAUGCUUGGUGUAGGGGUAAAAUCCGUAGAGAUCAAGAGGAAUACUCAUUGCGAAGGCGACCUGCUAGAACAUAACUGACGCUGAUGCGCGAAAGCGUGGGGAGCAAACAGGAUUAGAUACCCGGGUAGUC